rnacentral:rRNA from 1 species
UACGUAGGUGGCAAGCGUUGUCCGGAAUUAUUGGGCGUAAAGCGCGCGCAGGCGGUCCUUUAAGUCUGAUGUGAAAGCCCACGGCUCAACCGUGGAGGGUCAUUGGAAACUGGGGGACUUGAGUGCAGAAGAGGAAAGUGGAAUUCCACGUGUAGCGGUGAAAUGCGUAGAGAUGUGGAGGAACACCAGUGGCGAAGGCGACUUUCUGGUCUGUAACUGACGCUGAGGCGCGAAAGCGUGGGGAGCAAACAGGAUUAGAA